rnacentral:tRNA from 1 species
GCCAGCAUGGCUCAGUGGUUGAGCGUCAACUUAUGAACCUGGAGGUCAGGGUUUGAUUCCCGGUCAGGGCA